UACGGGGGGGGCAAGCGUUGUUCGGAUUUAUUGGGCGUAAAGAGCGUGUAGGCGGUUUGGUAGGUCCGUUGUGAAAACUCGAGGCUCAACCUCGAGACGCCGAUGGAAACCAUCAGACUAGAGUCCGGAAGAGGAGAGUGGAAUUCCUGGUGUAGCGGUGAAAUGCGCAGAUAUCAGGAAGAACACCCGUGGCUAAGGCGGCUCUCUAGUACGGUACUGACGCUGAGACGCGAAAGCGUGGGGAGCGAACAGG
rnacentral:rRNA from 1 species